rnacentral:rRNA from 1 species
AUGUGCCACACCACUGACGCCGCCCCCGCCGCCGCCGCCAUGCCGCCCCCCUCCUCCGCUGCCCCGUGGUGGCUGGCCACCACGGCCUGCUCCCCGCCACCCUUGUCCUCCGCCUCCCUCCCCGACCGCCUCGCCUUCCUCCUCCUCUCCCCGUGCCCGCAGCGCGCGCUCCUCGCCGCCCUCGACCUCCUCUUCCUCCUCGCCGCCCUCGCCCUCUCCCUCCGCGCCCGCCUCCACCACCACUACCGCGCGCGCCAGGAUCACCAUGAGCAGGAGCCCCUGCUCGCCAAGCCGGCACGGUACCGCGGGAGGGGAUUACGCCACAGGAUCGCGCUCGGGGCCUCCUCCGCGCUCGCCGCCGCGUCGCUCCUGCUCCUCGCGCUCGCCUUCCUGCUGCUCCCCGCGCGCGGGGAUGGCGAGGACGGGGGCGACUGGGCCGCGCUCCAGCGCGCCUUCCUCGCGGCGCACCUCCUCGCGCACCUCGCCGCCGCGGGGACCGUCGCGGCGGAGAAGGCGGGGGCCGCCCCGGCGCGCGCCCACCCGCCGCACCUCCGCGCCUUCUGGCUCGCCACGGCCCUGCUCGCCGCGCUCUUCUCCGGCUCCGCGGCCGCGCGCUUCGUCGCAGGCGAGCCCGUCCUCCCCGACGACCCCAUCGCGUUCGCCGGGCUUGUCCUCUCGCUUCCUCUGCUCUACUUCGCGGUCGACGGCUCCAGCGGCCUCGCUGAAUCAGCCGCGGCGACGUCUACUACCGAGGAGGAACCAAGCGGUGCCUCUGAGGCGGCCACGUCCUACGCCACGGCGUCGUGGCUCUCGCUGGCGACCUUCAGCUGGAUCAACCCGCUCAUCACCAAGGGCUACAGGGCGGCUCUCGGCGCCCAAGACGUCCCGCAAGUGGCACCGUCCGAUACGGCCGAGGCAGCGUACGCUCUGUUCGUGUCCAACUGGCCGGCGGCCCCCGCGCCGGGGUCCAAGGCCGGGCACCCGGUGAUCACCGCGCUGCUGCGGUCCUUCUGGCCGCAGUUCCUGCUCACCGCCGCGCUGGGCGUGGCGCACCUGUCGGUCAUGUACAUCGGCCCGUCGCUCGUGGACAGGUUCGUCCAGUUCGUUCGCCGCGGCGGAGACAUGACGGACGGGCUGCGGCUGGUCGGCAUCCUCCUCGCCGGCAAGGCCGCUGAGACUCUCGCGUCGCACCACUACGAGUUCCAGGGGCAGAAGCUGGGCAUCCGCAUCCAUGCUGCUCUGCUCGCCGUGGUGUACCGCAAGUCGCUGCGGCUGUCCACGGGCGCGCGGCGAGCUCACGGCGCCGGCACCAUCGUGAACUACAUGGAGGUGGAUGCCGAGGAGGUGUCCAAUGUCACGCACGAGCUCCACAACCUGUGGCUGAUGCCGCUGCAGAUCGCCGUGGCCCUCGCCCUGCUCUACACCCACCUCGGCCCAUCCGUGCUCACCGCGGUCGCCGCGAUCGCUGUGGUCACCGUGGUCGUGGCCCUCGCCAACCGGCGCAACAUGGAGUACCAGUUCAAGUUCCUCGGCAAGCGCGAUGAGCGCAUGAAGGCCAUCACCGAGUUGCUCAACUACAUGCGCGUGAUCAAGCUGCAGGCAUGGGAGGAGACGUUUGGUUCCAAGAUUAGUGAGCUCAGGGAGGCCGAGCUUGGGUGGCUGGCCAAGUCAAUGUACUUCAUGUGCGCCAACACCAUCGUGCUCUGGAGCGGCCCGCUUGCCAUGACCGUGCUCGUGUUCGGCACCUGCGUGCUGACAGGUGUCAAGCUCGACGCUGGCAAGGUGUUCACAGCCACUGCGUUCUUUCGAAUGCUCGAUGGACCUAUGCAGAGCUUCCCGGAGGCGAUCGCCGCUGUGACACAGGCGACCGUGUCCCUUGGAAGGCUUGACAGGUACCUGCUUGAUGCAGAGCUCGCUGACACUACAGUGGAGCAUGUCCUCGACACUGAUACUGGCCCGGACCGAGUGGUCGUGGAGGUGCACGAUGGCAUGUUCGCGUGGGACGUGAGGGGCAAGAAGGAGAGUGCAAAGGAAGAAGAGGAAAAUGAUGACAGUGAAGGUGAGGAGGAUGAGAGAAUUGUGGAGGAGGCACCAGUGCUAGAGACAGUGCUGAAGGGGAUUAAUAUGAAGGUGAGGAAAGGCAAGCUUGCGGCGGUGGUUGGAAUGGUCGGGUCCGGCAAGUCGUCACUGCUGUCCUGCAUUAUGGGGGAGAUGGACAAGGUCUCAGGCAAAGUAAGGGUAUGUGGUAGCACUGCAUAUGUUGCACAGACAGCUUGGAUCCAAAAUGGGACCAUUCAAGAGAAUAUCUUAUUCGGGCAGCCAGUGGAUGCUGAAAGAUACAAAGAGGUUACACGAUCUUGCUGUCUGCAAAAGGAUUUGGAAAUGAUGGAAUUUGGUGACCAGACUGAAAUAGGAGAGAGAGGGAUCAAUCUCAGUGGCGGGCAGAAACAGCGCAUUCAGCUUGCCAGAGCAGUUUAUCAGAAUUGUGAUGUAUAUCUCCUUGAUGAUGUCUUCAGUGCUGUUGAUGCGCACACUGGUUCAUAUAUCUUUAAGGAAUGUCUAAGGGGCAUGCUCAAGGGAAAGACCAUCUUGCUUGUUACUCACCAAGUGGAUUUCUUGCAUAAUGUGGACAACAUAUUUGUCAUGAAAGAUGGUAUGAUUGCACAGUCAGGAAAGUUUGACGAGUUACUAGAAGCAGGCUCAGGUUUUUCAGCUCUUGUUGCUGCUCAUGAUAGUUCGAUGGAACUGGUGGAACACAAUCGACAAGUAGAGAAGACUGAACAUUCUCAGCCUGCAGUAGUCAGGAUCCCGUCUCUUCGCUCUAGAUCCAUUGGAAAAGGUGAGAAGGUGAUCGUUGCACCAGAAAUAGAAGCAGCUACUUCUAAGAUUAUACAAGAAGAGGAAAGAGAGAGUGGCCAAGUAAGUUGGCGUGUGUACAAGUUAUACAUGACAGAGGCUUGGGGUUGGUGGGGAGUUGUGGGCAUAUUUGGAUUAUCAUUGGUGUGGCAAGCUUCUGAUAUGGCUAGUGACUAUUGGCUGUCAUAUGAAACAUCCGGCGUCAUUCCCUUUAAUCCUUCACUGUUUAUCGGAGUGUAUGUUGCCAUAGCUGGUGUUUCAAUGGUACUUCAAGUAAUCAAGACUUUUCUUGAGACGGUCAUGGGACUUCAAACAGCUCAGAUCUUUUUCAGGAAGAUGUUUGACAGCAUUUUGCAUGCCCCAAUGUCAUUCUUUGACACCACUCCUUCAGGAAGAAUUCUUAGUCGGGCAUCAUCUGACCAAACAACGAUCGAUGUUGUGCUGGCAUUUUUCGUUGGCCUGACAAUUUCAAUGUACAUUUCAGUAUUGAGCACCAUAGUUGUUACUUGUCAGGUUGCCUGGCCAUCAGUUAUAGCUGUAAUUCCGCUUCUGCUAUUGAACAUUUGGUACAGGAAUCGCUAUCUUGCAACUUCUCGGGAGCUAACUCGACUUGAAGGAGUAACCAAGGCACCGGUUAUCGAUCACUUUACUGAGACCGUUGUAGGUGCUACAACCAUACGAUGUUUUAAGAAGGAAAAUGAAUUUUUCCAGGAGAAUUUAGAAAGAAUCAAUUCAAGUUUGCGCAUGUACUUCCACAAUUAUGCGGCAAACGAGUGGCUUGGGUUCCGCCUGGAGCUUAUUGGAACACUCGUAUUGUCAAUCACUGCUUUCCUGAUGAUCAGCUUGCCCAGCAAUUUUAUCAAGAAAGAAUUUGUUGGCAUGUCUCUUUCGUAUGGCCUUUCCCUCAAUUCUCUGGUGUACUUUGCAAUAUCGAUCAGCUGUAUGUUGGAAAACGACAUGGUUGCUGUAGAGAGGGUAAAUCAAUUCAGCACUCUUCCUUCUGAGGCAGCAUGGAGAAAAGAGGAUCAUCUUCCUCCAAAUUGGCCCACACAUGGAGAUAUUGACAUCAGCAAUCUAAAGGUUAGGUAUCGACCAAAUACACCUCUAAUUCUGAAGGGCAUUAAUGUGAGCAUUAGAGGUGGUGAAAAGAUAGGAGUUGUCGGAAGGACAGGCAGUGGAAAAUCGACUUUGAUUCAAGCACUGUUCAGGCUUGUAGAACCUGCAGAGGGGAAGAUGAUCAUUGAUGGAGUAGACCUAUGUGCAUUGGGUCUGCAUGAUCUUAGGUCCCGUUUCGGCAUAAUUCCCCAGGAGCCAGUUCUCUUUGAAGGGACGAUUCGAAGUAACAUUGAUCCUGUUGGGCAGUAUUCAGAUGCUGAAAUAUGGCUGGCUCUGGAGCGUUGCCAACUGAAAGAUGUGGUAGCUUCAAAAGCUGAAAAGCUCGAUGCUCUAGUGGCUGAUAGUGGGGAGAACUGGAGUGUAGGCCAAAGACAGCUUCUGUGCCUUGGCCGUGUGAUAUUGAAGCAGAACCAAAUCUUAUUUAUGGACGAGGCAACUGCUUCAGUUGAUUCGCAAACCGACGCCACGAUUCAGAAGAUCACACGAGAACAAUUCUCGUCAUGUACAAUUAUCAGCAUUGCACACAGGAUACCGACAGUCAUGGACUGUGAUAGAGUUUUGGUUCUGGACGCAGGUCUGGUAAAGGAAUUUGAUGCGCCAUCGAGGUUGCUCGAACAACCGGAAUCCCUCUUCGGGGCGAUGGUCCAGGAGUAUGCCGACCGCUCGUCCAACCUCUAG